UGAGGACACCGAGUUCCGCGAGGGCGUCGUGGUAGACCGGCCCACCCGGGCAGGCCACGGCUCCUUUGUUAACUGUGGCAUGAAGAAGGAGGUGAAGAUCGACAAGAACUUGGAGCCUGGACUCCGGGUGACUGUGAGACUGAACCCAACGCAGCUUCCAGAAUGCAAGACCUACCGGGGCACGGUUGUAUCAUCGCAGGAGCCUCGAACCAGAGCCGGGCUCUACUGGGGCUACACUGUCCGCCUGGCCU